UACGGAGGUUCCUAGCGUUGUUCGGAAUUACUGGGCGUAAAGGGAGCGCAGGCGGAUAGGUCAGUUUAAAGUGGAAUCCCAGGGCUCAACCCUGGACGUGCUUUGGAUACUGCCUGUCUUGAGUUCGUGAGAGGAAAGUGGAAUUCAGGGUGUAGCGGUGAAAUGCUUAGAUAUCCUGAGGAACACCAGUGGCGAAAGCGACUUUCUGGCACGAAACUGACGCUGAGGCUCGAAAGCAUGGGUAGCGAACGGG
rnacentral:rRNA from 1 species